UGUUCCUACGGGGCGCAGCAGUGGGGAAUAUUGGGCAAUGGGGGAAACCCUGACCCAGCGACGCCGCGUGAGGGAAGAAGGUUUUCGGAUUGUAAACCUCUGUCCUUGGUGACGAUAAUGACGGUAGCCAAGGAGGAAGCCACGGCUAACUCCGUGCCAGCAGCCGCGGUAAUACGGAGGGUGCGAGCGUUAAUCGGAAUUACUGGGCGUAAAGCGCUCGUAGGCGGUAUGUCAAGUCAAGGGUGAAAUCCCCGCGCUCAACGUGGGAACUGCCUUUGAAACUGGCAAACUGGAGUGUGUGAGAG
rnacentral:rRNA from 1 species